UACAGAGGUCUCAAGCGUUGUUCGGAUUCAUUGGGCGUAAAGGGUGCGUAGGCGGCGCGGUAAGUCGGGUGUGAAAUCUUCGGAGCUUAACUCCGAAACUGCAUUCGAUACUGCCGUGCUUGAGGACUGGAGAGGAGACUGGAAUUUACGGUGUAGCGGUGAAAUGCGUAGAUAUCGUAAGGAAGACCAGUGGCGAAGGCGGGUCUCUGGACAGUUCCUGACGCUGAGGCACGAAGGCCAGGGGAGCAAACGGGAUUAGAACU
rnacentral:rRNA from 1 species